UACGAAGGGGGCUAGCGUUGCUCGGAAUCACUGGGCGUAAAGCGCACGUAGGCGGAUCUUUAAGUCAGGGGUGAAAUCCCAAGGCUCAACCUUGGAACUGCCUUUGAUACUGGGGAUCUCGAGUCCGGAAGAGGUUGGUGGAACUGCGAGUGUAGAGGUGAAAUUCGUAGAUAUUCGCAAGAACACCAGUGGCGAAGGCGGCCAACUGGUCCGGAACUGACGCUGAGGUGGGAAAGCGUGGGGAGCAAACAGG
rnacentral:rRNA from 1 species